CUUGAAUUGAAUCGAGAGGAACUCAUGUGUAAAAUGUGAUGAACUUACCUGGCUUUCAAAGAUAAUGACUCUGUAUACAAACUGUCUCAAAAUUGUAAUUACGCAAACUAUGUUUACCCCCACCCUUUUUCUUUCUGUACCCCGUUCAUGCUUCUUCGAGCCCUUCUAUCAAGGUAACGAAAAACAAAAAACAAUAGGGAGCGGACGCAUCUCAGCAGACCUCCCAGCCAAAACCCGCAACGAAGCCUGAUACCAGAGGCUUAAAACCCUCAAUUAACUCACCCCUGACCGGGGACACCCUCUGGGCUCAACCCAGCAGCCACACAUGCCGUUUGUAUACCCGGCAUGGGGGAAUCGACGGUGGCGGAGACCCGAUGCCUACAAGCCCACAGCAGCCCUCAACUGGUCGG